GACGAAGGUCCCGAGCGUUGUUCGGAAUCACUGGGCGUAAAGGGAGCGUAGGCGGCGUGGUAAGUCAGAUGUGAAAUCCCGGGGCUCAACCCCGGAACUGCAUCCGAUACUGCCGUGCUAGAGGAUUGGAGAGGUAGCUGGAAUUCUUGGUGUAGCAGUGAAAUGCGUGGAGAUCAAGAGGAACACUCGUGGCGAAAGCGAGCUACUGGACAAUAUCUGACGCUGAGGCUCGAAGGCCAGGGUAGCGAAAGGG
rnacentral:rRNA from 1 species